UACGAAGGGAGCUAGCGUUGUUCGGAAUCACUGGGCGUAAAGCGCACGUAGGCGGAUUUGUUAGUCAGGGGUGAAAUCCCGGGGCUCAACCUCGGAACUGCCUUUGAUACUGCAAAUCUCGAGUCCGGAAGAGGUGGGUGGAAUUCCUAGUGUAGAGGUGAAAUUCGUAGAUAUUAGGAAGAACACCGGUGGCGAAGGCGGCCCACUGGUCCGGUACUGACGCUGAGGUGCGAAAGCGUGGGUAGCAAACAGG
rnacentral:rRNA from 1 species